CUGUAGGUCUACUGAAUGGUUCUGUAGGUCUACUGAAUGGUUCUGGGCUGUAGGUCUACUGAAUGGCUCUGUAGGUCUACUGAAUGGUUCUGUAGGUCUACUGACUGGCGCUGUAGAUCUACUGAACGGUGCUGGGCUGUAGGUCUAUUGAGUGGUGCUGGGGUGUAGGUCUACUUAACGGUGCUGGGCUGUAGGUCUCCUGAAUGGCGCUGGGCUGUAGGUCUCCUGAAUGGCGCUGGGCUGUAGGUCUACUGAAUGGUGCUGCGCUGUAGGUCUACAGAAUGGUGAUGGGCUGUAGGUCUCCUGAAUGGUGCUGGGCUGUAGGUCUACUGAAUGGUGCUGGGCUGUAGGUCUACUGAACGGUGCUGGGCUGUUGGUCUACUGAAUGGUGAUGGGCUGUAGGUCUCCUGAAUGGUGCUGGGCUGUAGGUCUACUGAAUGGUGCUGGGCUGUAGGUCUCCUGAAUGGCGCUGGGCUGUAGGUCUACUGAAUGGUGCUGGGCUGUAGGUCUACUGAAUGGUGCUGGGC
ensembl:lncRNA